rnacentral:rRNA from 1 species
AUUGAACGCUGGCGGCAGGCCUAACACAUGCAAGUCGAACGGCAGCACAGAAGAGCUUGCUCUUUGGGUGGCGAGUGGCGGACGGGUGAGUAAUGUCUGGGAAACUGCCCGAUGGAGGGGGAUAACUACUGGAAACGGUAGCUAAUACCGCAUAACGUCGCAAGACCAAAGUGGGGGACCUUCGGGCCUCACACCAUCGGAUGUGCCCAGAUGGGAUUAGCUAGUAGGUGGGGUAAUGGCUCACCUAGGCGACGAUCCCUAGCUGGUCUGAGAGGAUGACCAGCCACACUGGAACUGAGACACGGUCCAGACUCCUACGGGAGGCAGCAGUGGGGAAUAUUGCACAAUGGGCGCAAGCCUGAUGCAGCCAUGCCGCGUGUAUGAAGAAGGCCUUCGGGUUGUAAAGUACUUUCAGCGGGGAGGAAGGCGGUGAGGUUAAUAACCUCGCCGAUUGACGUUACCCGCAGGAGAAGCACCGGCUAACUCCGUGCCAGCAGCCGCCGUAA